rnacentral:lncRNA from 1 species
GGGGUUGUUCAUUUAGAUGAGUACAAGAUUUCUAUUUUCCUAGAUUUUAUUUUAUUUUGAUUGCUUUUUUCUCUUUCUUUCCCUAUUUGAACUAUUAUCUGUGAACUACUAUUAGUUCACUACAAACAAUGAUCAGAUCCCUUCACCAUAGACAAAUGAACCGUUGAUGCUACCAACUACAAAAGAGGAGGGUGAGGUUGUCAUUCCUUAAGCUUGGAUAUCUACUAACUUCUAGUAUUUGGGAUUGUUUUCU